AAAGGAAUUGACGGGGACCCGCACAAGCAGCGGAGCAUGUGGUUUAAUUCGAAGCAACGCGAAGAACCUUACCUGGAUUUGACAUCCCUCUGACCGUUUCUUAACCGAGACCUUUCCUUCGGGGACAGAGGAGACAGGUGGUGCAUGGUUGUCGUCAGCUCGUGUCGUGAGAUGUUGGGUUAAGUCCCGCAACGAGCGCAACCCUUGUCUUUAGUUGCUAGCAGGUAAAGCUGAGCACUCUAAAGAGACUGCCAAGGUAAACUUGGAGGAAGGUGGGGAUGACGUCAAAUCAUCAUGCCCCUUAUGUUCAGGGCUACACACGUGCUACAAUGGCCGAUACAACGGGCAGCUAAGGAGCAAUCCGGAGCAAAUCCUACAAAAUCGGUCCCAGUUCGGAUUGUGGGCUGCAAUUCGCCCACAUGAAGUCGGAGUUGCUAGUAAUCGUGAAUCAGAAUGUCGCGGUGAAUGCGUUCCCGGGUCUUGCACACACCGCCCGU
rnacentral:rRNA from 1 species